GAAUUCGGGAGAGAGCUUUUUAGAGCCGCCGAAGGGGUAAUACUCUCAGGCAAAAGGACCGUA
rnacentral:ncRNA from 1 species